GCUUUCAAAUCACUGAGCAUCCAUCUUCCAGAGCUCUAUACUAAGGCGGUAAGGCCAAGUCUAAGGUUCUACAGCACAGUGACUGAUUAGCCAUGUCUUCCAUAGGCAGGGGUCAGGGAGCACACAGAGCAAGAGCCAUGCAGUUGUUAAUACUGCCCCAUGAGAAAAAAAAAAGUCCAACAAAAUAAACUGCUGCUAACGGUAAAAACUCAGAGCAGCUUAAGAUGGCAGCAGGAAGCGGAAUCCGGGCCUCCUUCCUCCAUGUUUAGCCGGCUCCUACCCGACUCUCUCACGUGACUUUUAUCCAGGUGACCAAGUCGGUUGCUUAGACGAUGCUUUCUGAGAAAGAUAUGACCAAAUGCUUGCCACAGCUGAGCGGUGGAAGCAGGAAGGGAGGAGGGUGCUGGUGCAGUGGGAGGGAGGAGGGGAGGGGAGCACAGCGGAGCACUGAGACCUGCCCUCCCAGAAUCACACACAGGGAGCUCACAAAUGAACAAUGGCGGGCUCAAGGUCUCUGAAGUGGCACAGGCACACGGGCGGGCACAGAGCCUGGCUGUCAAACUCCCUCCACAGAUGGAUGUUCUGUAUUGUAAGGAGCGUGCUACACACUCCCUGGCUGGUAGCCGCACACAGCCCAUUAGCCCUCCCCGACUGUACAGCAAGAUCCCUGCUGGCUUUAUCACAGGGCACCCUGUUGCUUCUUCUCCGAGCAGAUGCCUGGGGUUUGCAUCUGGGUCCCACCAAAUGUUCCCACAAAGGCUCCUUGUCUAAGGGAGGAACACCCAUCCUUAUCUCCAUCAGGGAUGCUACUCUGCCUGAAGUGUGGCGCCUUCUCAUCCGUCGGCUUCCAGACCAUGGAGGAUGCUGCCUGACCACCAAAGCUUGCAUCCUGAAUGCUCCUUUUAUUUUCAAAGAAAGAAAGUAUAGCCUUAAGUGAGAACAAAUACUAUGUACCUGCGUAUGCCGUGGAGUCUGUGUACAGGUCAGGAGACAGCCUACUGGAGCUGGCCACAGGGUCAAACCCAGAAUGUUAGACUUGCAUGGCAGAUGUCUUUACUCCCCGGGCUAUCUUGCUGGUCUAAAACCAACCCCUUUGAAUCCCUAGUGGAUGAGGGGGCAUCUGCCCUGCUGUGAAGCAAGCUCGGAGCUCUGUACAGGGAAGGCUCAGGUUUGUCCACCAGGUGUUGAAGGAUUCCUUCCCAGGCAGUGGCUGGGAGGAGAGGGGGUGAGGAGACGCCAGUCCCAUUCAGAGCAGCAACAGAAUGCUUCUGGCUGCUUUGGGGUUUGUUUGUUUUUCUGGAGCAAUUCACCUUCUAGG
rnacentral:lncRNA from 1 species